GUGCAGCAGACGAGAAACUUCACACUGUGCGAAAGCACGAUGAGGGAAUCCCAAGUGCUUGCACGUAAGUGUAAGCUGUUUCUCUGUCUAAAACGCAGAGAGAGUAAGGGCUGGGUAAGACGGGUGCCAGCCGCCGCGGUAAUACCUGCAGCUCAAGUGGUGACCGUUAUUAUUGGGCCUAAAACGUCCGUAGCCGGUUUAAUAAAUGCCUGGGUAAAUUGUGUAGCUUAACUAUACAAAUUCCGGGUAGACUGUUAAACUUGAGACCGGGAGAAGUUAGAGGUACUCCUGGGGUAGAGGUGAAAUUCUGUAAUCCUAGGGGGACCACCAGUGGCGAAGGCGUCUAACUAGAACGGGUCUGACGGUGAGGGACGAAGCCCUGGGGCGCAAAC
rnacentral:rRNA from 1 species